UACGAGGGGGCGAGCGUUGUUCGGAAUUACUGGGCGUAAAGGGCUCGUAGGCGGCCAACUAAGUCAGACGUGAAAUCCCUCGGCUUAACCGGGGAACUGCGUCUGAUACUGGAUGGCUUGAGGUUGGGAGAGGGAUGCGGAAUUCCAGGUGUAGCGGUGAAAUGCGUAGAUAUCUGGAGGAACACCGGUGGCGAAGGCGGCAUCCUGGACCAAUUCUGGACGCUGAGGAGCGAAAGCCAGGGGAGCAAACGGG
rnacentral:rRNA from 1 species